ACGUCUGAGCACGUUUUUGACGACCCUUAGGAAACUGUUACAGCAGCUGCAAUGCAGAAAUACCCAAACCCUAUGAACCCAAAUGUGGUUGCAGUUGAUGUAUUGGACAGACGUAUAGAACCAUCUGGAAACUUGCAUAGCCAUAGACUUCUCAGCAGAGUGGGAACUGCCUUCCAUUGUGAAAUCUAUUAUCGGUGCAGUAAGAACCAAAACAUAUGUGCAAGGACAUUCUGUAGUUGAUCCAGUAGAGAAAACAAUGAACUUAAGUCUACUAAUAUUUUAUUUACAAAUAUGGUUUCAGUAGAUGAGAGACUUACAUACAAACCACAUCCUCAGGACCCAGGAAAAACUGUUUUGACUCAGGAAGCUAUCAUCACUGUAAAAGGAGUUAGUUUUAGUAGCUACCUGGAAGGGCUGAUGGCAAGUAUGAUAUCGUCAAAUGCUAAUAAAGGGCGAGAAGCACUGGAAUGGGUAACACAUAAAUUAAAUGCUGAGAUUGAAGAAUUGACAGCCUCAGCAAGAGGAAGCAUCGGGACACCAAUGACAGCCGUAGCCUUUGUAGAGAAAUCAAAGUAUACAGCACCCAGUGCCCCAGGUUCUCUAUAUUGACAGUAUAUUUAUUUGUUAUUAAAAAAGUCAACUAUAUAUGUUAGGUAAAAUAAACUAAAGAUAAAAGGCUUUAUGACUGUUGAUCAAAAUAAAGAGGUGUAGGACUUCUAAAAAAAAAAGAAUUAUUUAUUAAAACUAAAUAAAAAGAAAGGAAAAAGAAAAAUUCA